GGCCGAACCAACAUAUACCCUACGGAUUUCAUGUCGUAACUUAAAAUUCAUGGGGUAAAAACAACAGUAAUUUUAGCGCUUCCCGCUUCAAGGGGGAAAGCGCCAUUUGAAACAAUGUGACAAUCGCGAGUGAAAGGAGACCCCCAUGCAGGUCAGCAGAAGGCAGUUCUUUAAG
rnacentral:sRNA from 1 species